rnacentral:rRNA from 2 species
AACUUUCAGCAACGGAUCUCUUGGCUCUCGCAUCGAUGAAGAACGCAGCGAAAUGCGAUAAGUAAUGUGAAUUGCAGAAUUCAGUGAAUCAUCGAAUCUUUGAACGCACCUUGCGCCCUUUGGCUAUUCCAAAGGGCAUGCCUGUUUGAGUAUCA